UACGGGGGGGGCAAGCGUUGUUCGGAAUUACUGGGCGUAAAGGGCUCGUAGGUGGCCAACUAAGUCACACGUGAAAUCCCUCGGCUUAACCGGGGAACUGCGUGUGAUACUGGAUGGCUUGAGUUUGGGAGAGGGAUGCGGAAUUCCAGGUGUAGCGGUGAAAUGCGUAGAUAUCUGGAGGAACACCGGUGGCGAAGGCGGGUCUCUGGACAGUUCCUGACGCUGAGGCACGAAGGUCAGGGGAGCAAACGGG
rnacentral:rRNA from 1 species